AUGCUGCUCCGCCGCCUCCUCCACCCCUCCCACCACCUCCGGCGCGGCCUCCAGACCCUAACCACGACCACCAACGCCGCCGCUGCCCCCCCGACACCGCAUCCUCUCUCCGCCCCUCUCCCAUUUCGCCGCCUCCCCGCCCGCCUCCUCUCGCCGCGGCUGCUCUCCACCUCCGGCGGCGACGACGACACCCGAAGACCCUGGGCCUUCACGCAGGACUCCGGAGAUCCGGACCCCUUCGCCGAUGUGGACCCCGCCGCCGCCGUCCCCGGCGAAGCGCCGCUAGGAUCGAGCGCCGUCGUCGAGGGCCCGUGGUCGAAGGACUUCCGCGCGGAGGACAGCGACAAGGCCGACGUGUUCGAGGAGAUCUACAAGGAUGCGGCCGCGGCAGCGCCUGCCGUGAGGAAGGCGGCCCCGGCCGAGCCGUGGACGUGGGAUUUGGAGGGUGAGAAAGACGACCCGUUCGCCGCGAGAAAGGAUGCGGCCGCGGCAGCGCCUACCGCGAGAAAGGCGGCCCCGGCCGAGCCGUGGACGUGGGAUUUGGAGGACGAGAAAGACGAUCCCUUCGCCGCGGCUGUGCUUGAUGUGGGGCUAGAGGGGAUCGCGGAUGAGGGUGCUCAGAUCGAGGAGCUUGUUGAUGGGAAAGAAGAAGAUGCGGAGCGCCAGCGGCAGGAGGACAAGGCGAGGGAGCAGCAGCUGAUGGAGACUCUCAAAGGUCCUGAUCGUGCAUUUGGGGAUCUAAUUUCUGCCUCUGGGAUUACGGAGGAGAUGAUUGACAGUUUGAUCCUCUUGAAGGAUGCCAGGGGAAUACCAGGAUUGCCUCCUCUGAGUGAAAUACAAGAUAGAGCUAUCCAGAAAAUGAAUGCAACAUCAAGCAGGGCAGAAGUAGAACGCCAAAUGCAAGAGGAAAUUGCCAAGGCACGUGUGAGACAAGUUGAUGAGAAAGGAAGGGCUUAUGGUACAGGUAAAAGGAAGUGCAGCAUUGCCCGUGUUUGGAUUCAGCCUGGUGAUGGCAAGUUUGUUGUCAAUGACAAGCAGUUUGAUGCUUACUUCCCAAUUCUGGAUCAUCGAGCUGAUCUUCUCCGGCCAUUUACUGUGACCAAGACGUUGGGGCUUUGGGAUGUAGCUUGUACUGUGAAAGGUGGUGGUGUUUCAGGUCAAGUUGGAGCUGUGCGCCUAGGGAUCAGCAGAGCCUUACAGAAUUGGGAACCAGGACUACGCCCAUAUCUCAAAGCAGCUGGAUAUUUAACCAGAGAUUCGCGUGUGGUCGAAAGGAAGAAGCCUGGAAAGGCAAAGGCAAGGAAGAGCUUCCAAUGGGUCAAGCGUUAA
rnacentral:rRNA from 1 species